rnacentral:rRNA from 1 species
CGUUCCCAUUCCGAACACGGAAGUUAAGCUCUUCAGCGCCGAUGGUAGUUGGGGGCUGUCCCCCUGUGAGAGUAGGACGUUGCCAAGC